UGGUGGAGUGAUUUGUCAGGUUAAAUCCGGUAACGAACGAGACUUUGGCCUACUAAUUAACAAGGUUGCGUUAGCAAUGCUCGGUUACUUAGAGGGACUUUGUAUAAUGAACGCAAGGAAGUUCGAAGCUAUAACA
rnacentral:rRNA from 1 species